CCUACGGGUGGCUGCAGUCGAGAAUUUUUCUCAAUGGGGGCAACCCUGAAGGAGCGACGCCGCGUGGAGGAUGAAGGUCUUCGGAUUGUAAACUCCUGUCAUUGGUGAACAAGAGUCCCGCUUAACUGGCGGAGGCUUUGAUAGUAGCCGAAGAGGAAGAGACGGCUAACUCUGUGCCAGCAGCCGCGGUAAUACAGAGGUCUCAAGCGUUGUUCGGAUUCAUUGGGCGUAAAGGGUGCGUAGGCGGCCUGCUAAGUCUGAUGUGAAAUCCCGGG
rnacentral:rRNA from 1 species